rnacentral:rRNA from 1 species
UACGAAGGGGGCGAGCGUUGUUCGGAAUUACUGGGCGUAAAGGGCGCGUAGGCGGCGACCCAAGUCAGAUGUGAAAGUCCUGGGCUUAACCUGGGGACUGCAUUUGAUACUGGGUUGCUUGAAUUCGGGAGAGGAUAGCGGAAUUCCCAGUGUAGAGGUGAAAUUCGUAGAUAUUGGGAAGAACACCGGUGGCGAAGGCGGCUAUCUGGACCGACAUUGACGCUGAGGCGCGAAAAGCGUGGGGGAGCAAACA